rnacentral:rRNA from 1 species
AGCAGCUUGCUGCUUUGCUGACGAGUGGCGGACGGGUGAGUAAUGUCUGGGAAACUGCCUGAUGGAGGGGGAUAACUACUGGAAACGGUAGCUAAUACCGCAUAACGUCGCAAGACCAAAGAGGGGGACCUUCGGGCCUCUUGCCAUCGGAUGUGCCCAGAUGGGAUUAGCUAGUAGGUGGGGUAAAGGCUCACCUAGGCGACGAUCCCUAGCUGGUCUGAGAGGAUGACCAGCCACACUGGAACUGAGACACGGUCCAGACUCCUACGGGAGGCAGCAGUGGGGAAUAUUGCACAAUGGGCGCAAGCCUGAUGCAACCAUGCCGCGUGUAUGAAGAAGGCCUUCGGGUUGUAAAGUACUUUCAGCGGGGAGGAAGGGAGUAAAGUUAAUACCUUUGCUCAUUGACGUUACCCGCAGAAGAAGCACCGGCUAACUCCGUGCCAGCAGCCGCGGUAAUACGGAGGGUGCAAGCGUUAAUCGGAAUUACUGGGCGUAAAGCGCACGCAGGCGGUUUGUUAAGUCAGAUGUGAAAUCCCCGGGCUCAACCUGGGAGCUGCAUCUGAUACUGGCAAGCUUGAGUCUCGUAGAGGGGGGUAGAAUUCCAGGUGUAGCGGUGAAAUGCGUAGAGAUCUGGAGGAAUACCGGUGGCGAAGGCGGCCCCCUGGACGAAGACUGACGCUCAGGUGCGAAAGCGUGGGGAGCAA